AUUGAACGCUGGCGGCAGGCUUAACACAUGCAAGUCGAGCGGAGAUGAGGUGCUUGCACCUUAUCUUAGCGGCGGACGGGUGAGUAAUGCUUAGGAAUCUGCCUAUUAGUGGGGGACAACAUUCCGAAAGGAAUGCUAAUACCGCAUACGUACUACGGGAGAAAGCAGGGGAACUUCGGACCUUGCGCUAAUAGAUGAGCCUAAGUCGGAUUAGCUAGUUGGUGGGGUAAAGGCCUACCGAGGCGACGAUCUGUAGCGGGUCUGAGAGGAUGAUCCGCCACACUGGGACUGAGACACGGCCCAGACUCCUACGGGAGGCAGCAGUGGGGAAUAUUGGACAAUGGGGGGAACCCUGAUCCAGCCAUGCCGCGUGUGUGAAGAAGGCCUUAUGGUUGUAAAGCACUUUAAGCGAGGAGGAGGCUACUGAGACUAAUACUCUUGGAUAGUGGACGUUACUCGCAGAAUAAGCACCGGCUAACUCUGUGCCAGCCGCCGCCGUAAUAC
rnacentral:rRNA from 1 species